GGUUCUGGCUCAGUGGUAGAGUGCUUGUCUAGCACAUGUGAGGCACUGGGUUCGACCCUCAGGACAGGAUAA
rnacentral:tRNA from 1 species